AGUGAACGCUGGCGGUAUGCCUAACACAUGCAAGUCGAACGGCAGCACAGUAAGAGCUUGCUCUUACGGGUGGCGAGUGGCGGACGGUUGAGGAAUACAUCGGAAUCUACUUUUUCGUGGGGGAUAACGUAGGGAAACUUACGCUAAUACCGCAUACGACCUACGGGUGAAAGCAGGAGAUCUUCGGACCUUGCGCGAUUGAAUGAGCCGAUGUCGGAUUAGCUAGUUGGCGGGGUAAAGGCCCACCAAGGCGACGAUCCAUAGCUGGUCUGAGAGGAUGAUCAGCCACACUGGAACUGAGACACGGUGCAGACUCCUAAGGGAGGCAGCAGUGGGGAAUAUUGGACAAUGGGCGCAAGCCUGAUCCAGCCAUACCGCGUGAGUGAAGAAGGCCUUCGGGUUGUAAAGCCCUUUUGUUGGGAAAGAAAAGCAGCAGGUUAAUACGCAGCUGUUCUGACGGUACCCAAAGAAUAAGCACCGGCUAACUUCGUG
rnacentral:rRNA from 1 species